AAUUUGGAUACUGAAUGGACGUAUCCGAUCUUGUGCUCAGCCUAAAGGUUGAUUAGUGAAGUUCUUUUGGAAUGAUAUUAUUUUUAGUCAAAUUUUGAUAUUGACUCCUCCAUUUAAAGUGAAGUUUUAAAUUGUUUUGCACGGGACCCAACCCAACACACUAGUAUUGAAAACUUCAUGGUUCUGCAACUUGAUGGAACUGUAAAUGAGUGGGGCUGGUGCAAGCAAAAGCUUGAAGUGAAUGCCAUACUGGCAGUGUCUCUUGCAGUUCGUAAAGCUGGCGCUAGUGUCCACAAAAAUCUCCCUUUACAAGAACUAAAUAUGAUAAAAUGACAAUUUCUGGAUGCAUCAUAUUGCCAACUUGGCCGGUAACAAGAAGUUGGUUCUGCCGGUUCCCGUUUUCAAUGUCAUAAUGGUGGAUCACAUGCAGGAAAUAAACUUGCCAUGCGGGAGCUCGUGAUUCUUCCUGUUGGAGCUUCCACUUUCAAAGAGGCCAUGAAGAUGGGAGUGGAAGUAUAUCAUCAUUUGAAGGUGGGUUAUGAAUUUCCAUUUCUCUCCUCCUUUUUUUUUUUGGCCUGGAACGAUGAAUUGCAGGCUUAUGAUUGUUCUUACUGUCUCGCUAUUCUGUAUGUAUUGCAACGUGGCCUGAUAUCGGCUAUAAAUAAAUAUGUUACCUUAAUGCAAUGUGGCUUGAUGUUACAAGUAGAAAGUGUUAUUGCUUUUAUGGCCUGGAUCAAAUAGGUUUCUUAUCCUGCCAAAAAUGAAAAAACACAACCAAUAUGUAUAGAGUAAAAAAAUAAAAAUAAAAGAGCUGUCAAAACUUCUAGUAAAAACUGAUUC